GGCUGCGCUGUUCGGCUGAUGAAUGUGAUCGCAUCGGUCCUCCUCCAGAAAUCAUUUGGGUGGAUAAUAUCCCCGCAGUGGCGUCACCGCUGUCUCGUUCCAGGUCGAACGUCAUUGAGUCUGUGUGUGCGUUGAGUCCCGGUCGUGUUGUUGGACCUAUGCCAACGGACUUUGUCUUAGUUGUGUACAGGUUUUGUGCCUGAAAGAGCUGCUGGCCUUUAUUGACCAGGGUCGAUCUCCUCU